AACGCACCUUGCACUCCCUGGUAUUCCGGGGAGUAUGUCUGUUUGAGUGUCAUGAACUCUUCAACCUGUCAGUUCUUAGAAUUGUAUAGUGUUUGGAUUUUGAACGCUUGCUGGCUUUCAGUAGUCGAGCUCGUUUGUAAUACAUGAGCAUCUCUAAUUUAAGAUUUGGAUUGACUCAGUGUAAUAGACUAUUCACUGAGGACACCAGUUACUGGUGGCCAUCUCUUCAACUUGGGAAGCUUCAAAUUUUGUAGUCAACUUCUAAAUUUAGACCUCAGAUCAGAUAGGAUUACCCGCUGAACUUAA
rnacentral:rRNA from 1 species